rnacentral:lncRNA from 1 species
GGGGGUGAAAUGCUCGUUUUCACUCAAUAUCCUGUUCAUCUUGAGUACCUAUAGAGUAGUACUGCAUCCUUCAUAACUCCAAAAAGUCUUUAGUUUUAUUAUAUUCAUAAGAGAAAGAUAGUCUGUACCGAUUUUUCCAGGAAAAACACGAGCGCCUGGAGGCGUGUUGUGUUGACGGAGCUAAAGAAUCACGAGCACGAGUAGGCUUUUGCGUUGAGAGCGUUUGGAAGCUGUGACAUUACCGUGAGGAAAAAAACAUCCAAAAAAAACCAUGGCUAACUGUCAGAUUCAGCCGUAUAUUUAUGAUCCAGAAUCUGAUCCAGAGGCUAAAUUUAACAAGAGCAGCAUCAGCAACGACGUCUCUAUGUGGUGGGAAUUUUCUUUUCAAAGUUGUCCUGAGGGCAGAAACGUUUGCAAGAGGGGAGAUAAUUGCAGAGGCGGGGCCACCAUUUCCAAUCUCAACCAUCAAAAAAUCCCUCUGCGGUGCGCAGGCAAGAGGAACUGGUGGUUAUCAUUUCAAAAAAAAAAUUCUUAAAGGAGCCAGUGCCAUCUUCGGGCCCUACUUGCUGGGAGAGUGCCACUGGACCCUCUUUAGGGAACUAUUACCUACAUCGACUCCUUGGGGGAGCAACCAAAGCAUUGCUUCCAAAUAAUGGAAAAUUGGAGCUUAUUUGCUGCUAGCAGAGGCUGCCAAGGGCCCUGAAAGAUGAUGAAGAGGGACCAUGACUUACAAAACGACUCUUUGUCAUGUGGGGUGUUCUCACUAAUG